UAGGGAAUAUUGGACAAUGGGGGGAACCCUGAUCCAGCCAUGCCGCGUGGAGGAAGACUGCCCUCUGGGUUGUAAACUCCUUUUAUAUGGGAAGAACCGUCCUCAUUGAUGAGUGACCUGACGGUACCAUAGGAAUAAGCACCGGCUAACUCCGUGCCAGCAGCCGCGGUAAUACGGAGGGUGCAAGCGUUAUCCGGAUUCACUGGGUUUAAAGGGUGCGUAGGCGGAUAUGUAAGUCAGUGGUGAAAUCAACGGGCUCAACCUGUUAACUGCCAUUGAUACUGUGUAUCUUGAAUAUGAGAGAGGUAGGCGGAAUGUUGCAUGUAGCGGUGAAAUGCUUAGAUAUGCUACGGAACACCGAUUGCGAAGGCAGCUUACUAUUUCGUAAUUGACGCUGAGGCACGAAAGCGUGGG
rnacentral:rRNA from 1 species